GCCCUCUUGAGCUCUUGUGGUGACCUGGGAAUCAAUGUGUGAGGUGGUGCUAUGUAGCAGGAACCCCUCUUGCUUUGCAAAUAGUUUUUUGUUUGUUUUCCUUUUUGCCCAAUAGAGCCCUGCUCUACUGACCCUUCAAUGUGCCCGUGUGCCUAAAUAUUCCUGGUCGUGUGAAAAGAACCCAGGUAUUAGCUGAACUAAGGAGCACAAUUCUGCAACAUUUUGGCACCCAAACACGGGGCUUGAGAAAUGAAUGCAAUUGGAGAAACUGGUUGUUUUACCAGGCGUUGAUUGGAAAUGUGUGCUUCCCUUUAAGCAGUCAAGCUCAACUUGCAGAACUGAUGGGAACCCCUUGGGAAAACUGGCCUCAAAUGUUUGUCUACACAGUCCACAUACAGGGUUCUUAACCUGCGGCCAUCAAACUCCAGUCUGCACCUGGAGCCUUGGAUGAUGGCCUUUUUUACUGGGAACCCUGAAAUAGGCCUCUGAGGGAAAUCUGAUUGCCAUUUUCCCAAAACAGCUUCCCUGACAAUAGGAAGCAAUUAAGAUUGGUCUUCAUCCUUAUCUUUAUCCUUAUUCUAAUGGCAGUUAGAGGUACUUCUUUAGAGGGGGGAAUGAGACAGCCAAAUGCCUAGGCAGAUAAAAAGGUGUACCUGGAAAAUUUCCAACCCGUCACACAAGUGUUUACAUCAGAUGCUUUUGUGUAGAUGAGGGAAACUUCCCAGGGCUUGUCUGGGUAUGCCCACAGUGGACUGGAGCCCAAAAUGCACACUGGAGGAAGUGGAUGGAGCCACGUGGAUGUCAUGCCUUAUGCAGGGGAGGAGCCUGCUCUCUUCAGCUCCUGUGGUAAUGUGGGAAUCGAUCUGUGAGGUGAGGACCUGUUAGCAGGAACCCCUCUUGCUUUGCUGAAAGUUUUAUUUUUCUUUUUGCCCUAUAAAACCCUGUUCUACUAACCCUUCAAUAUGUCUGCAUUCCUAAAUUUUCCUGGUCAUGUGACGAGAACCUAGGUUUUAGCUGAACUAAGGAGCAAAAUUCUGCAACAUAAAGUCAAAGAAAACUAUGCCUAUAUCCAUUAAAUCAAAUGUUAAAAAGCAAAUAUAAAGAAAAAGUCUUCACAGCCCUAGAGAAAAGUGAAACAUUGUACAUAAAGAAGUAAUAAUUUGAAUGGAUUGUCAGAAACCAUGACUAGAAGACAGAGGAGCAAUAUUUUCAAAUUUCAUAGAGAAAGGAAAAAAAGAAAAGAAGAAAAAAAAGAAGACAUAAUAAAACACCUGUCAUUUUAGUAUUCUGUACCCAUUGAACAUAACCUUCAAUAGAAUGUGAAGUAGACAUAUUCAGGUGAAUAAAAAAUCAAGAGAAUAAUAGUUAUGUUCUACAUGAAAUUAUAAAGGAAAUUUCUCAGACUAGGUGGAAAUUAUACUAGUGAGAAACAGAUUUGAAGGACUAAAGGAAGAGAUGAUAGACUGACAAAGUCAAUUUUUAAAAGCCAGAUCUAACUUCUUAUUGGCUACAAGGAAUCCACUUUUAAUAUACAAAAAUAGGUAAUAAUUAAAUUGCUAGAAAAUACAUUUCAAAUAAAGAAUCAGCACAUGUAGCUUGGAGAAGAUAUAUUAACAUAAAAAGGACUUCAAUAAAAGGAGUAUUAUGAGAAGACAUUUAUGCAGCCAAAAAACACAUGAAAAAAUGCUCACCAUCACUGGCCAUCAGAGAAAUGCAAAUCAAAACCACAAUGAGAUACCAUCUCACACCAGUUAGAAUGGCAAUCAUUAAAAAGUCAGGAAACAACAGGUGCUGGAGAGGAUGUGGAGAAAUAGGAACACUUUUACACUGUUGGUGGGACUGUAAACUAGUUCAACCAUUGUGGAAGUCAGUGUGGUGAUUCCUCAGGGAUCUAGAACUGGAAAUACCAUUUGACCCAGCCAUCCCAUUACUGGGUGUAUACCCAAAGGACUAUAAAUCAUGCUUCUAUAAAGACACAUGCACAGGUAUGUUUAUUGCGGCACUAUUCACAAUAGCAAAGACCUGGAACCAACCCAAAUGUCCAACAAUGAUAGACUGGAUUAAGAAAAUGUGGCACAUAUACACCAUGGAAUACUAUGCAGCCAUAAAAAAUGAUGAGUUCAUGUCCUUUGUAGGGACAUGGAUGAAAUUGGAAAUCAUCAUUCUCAGUAAACUAUCACAAGGACAAAAAACCAAACACCACAUAUUCUCACUCAUAGGUGGGAAUUGAACAAUGAGAUCACAUGGACACGGGAAAGGGAACAUCACACUCUGGGGACUGUUGUGGGGUGGGGGGAGAGGGGAGGGAUAGCAUUAGGAGAUAUACCUAAUGCUAAAUGAUGAGUUAAUGAGUGCAGCACACCAGCAUGGCACAUGUAUACAUAUGUAACUAACCUUUACGUUGUGCACAUGUACCCUAAAACUUAAAGUAUAAUAAUAAUAAAAUAAAAUAAAAUAAAAAUUUAUCAGAAAAACAAUAUCAAUUAUAAUGUAUAUACCUAA
rnacentral:lncRNA from 1 species